UCUGGUUGAUCCUGCCAGAGGCCACCGCUAUUGGAUUUCGAUUAAGCCAUGCGAGUCAAGAGGUCUUCGGAUACUCGGCGGAAUGCUCAGUAGCACGUGGACAACCUGCCCUCAGGAACGGUAUAAUCUCGCGAAAGUGAGGAUAAUAACCGAUUGGUGUCGGAUGCUGGAAUGCCCCGACGCUCAAAGGCCCCGGCGCCUGAGGAUGGAUCUGCGACCUAUCAUGCUUGUAGGUAGUGUAACGGACUACCUAGGCGACGACGGGUACGGGCCUUGAGAGAGGUCGCCCGGAGAUGGAUUCUGAGACACGAAUCCAGGCCCUACGGGGCGCAGCAGGCGCGAAAACUUCGCAAUGGGGGCAACCCCGACGAGGGAAAUCCAAGUGCCGGCACAUAGUGUCGGCUUUUCUUCAGUCCAAAAAGCUGAAGGAAUAAAGGCUGGGUAAGACGGGCGCCAGCCGCCGCGGUAAUACCCGCAGCCUAAGUGGUGGUCGCUUUUAUUGGGUCUAAAGCGUCCGUAGCCUGAUCGUUAAAUCCAUGGGUAAAUCGACGUGCCUAACGCGUCGAAUUCCGUGGAGACUGGCGGUCUAGGGGCCGGGAGAGGUUAGAGGUACUUUCGGGGUAGAGGUGAAAUUCUUUGAUCCCGAGGGGACCACCAGUGGCGAAGGCGUCUAACUGGAACGGAUCCGACGGUAAGGGACGAAACCCUGGGGCGCAAACCGGAUUAGAUACCCGGGUAGUCCAGGGCGUAAACGCUGUAGGCUUGGUGUUACACCGUCGACAGGAUUGUGUAGUGCCGUAGAGAAGUUGUUUAGCCUACCACCUGGGGAGUACGGUCGCAAGGCUGAAACUUAAAGGAAUUGGCGGGGAGCACCGCAACGGGAGGAGCGUGCGGUUCAAUUGGAUCAACGCCGGAAAACUCACCGGAGGCGACGGUUACAUGAAGGCCAGGCUGAUGACUUUGCCUGAUUUUCCGAGAGGUGGUGCAUGGCCGCCGUCAGUUCGUACCGUAAGGCGUUCUGUUAAGUCAGAUAACGAACGAGACCCUUGCCGUUAAUUGCUAGUUUCCUCUUCGGAGGAUACGCACAUUAAUGGGACCGCUGGCGCUAAGUCAGAGGAAGGAGAGGGCAACGGUAGGUCAGUAUGCCCCGAAUCCUCCGGGCUACACGCGCGCUACAAAGACCGGGACAAUGGGACUCGACCUCGAAAGGGGAAGGCAAUCCCGAAACCCAGGCCGUAGUUCGGAUCGAGGGCUGUAAUUCGCCCUCGUGAAGCUGGAUUCCGUAGUAAUCGCGUUUCAACAUAACGCGGUGAAUACGCCCCUGCUCCUUGCACACACCGCCCGUCAAACCAUCUUAGUUGAGUUUGGAUGAGGGGAGAUCUCCUAGUCUUCUCGAAUCCAGACUCAGCGAGGAGGGUUAAGUCGUAGCAAGGUA
rnacentral:rRNA from 1 species